GAUGAACGCUGGCGGCGUGCCUAAUACAUGCAAGUCGAGCGAACAGAUGAGGAGCUUGCUCCUCUGACGUUAGCGGCGGACGGGUGAGUAACACGUGGAUAACCUACCUAUAAGACUGGGAUAACUUCGGGAAACCGGAGCUAAUACCGGAUAAUAUAUUCAACCGCAUGGUUCAAUAGUGAAAGACGGAUUUGCUGUCCCUUAUAGAUGGAUCCGCGCCGCAUUAGCUAGUUGGUAAGGUAACGGCUUACCAAGGCAACGAUGCGUAGCCGACCUGAGAGGGUGAUCGGCCACACUGGAACUGAGACACGGUCCAGACUCCUACGGGAGGCAGCAGUAGGGAAUCUUCCGCAAUGGGCGAAAGCUUGACGGAGCAACGCCGCGUGAGUGAUGAAGGUCUUCGGAUCGUAAAACUCUGUUAUUAGGGAAGAACAAAUGUGUAAGUAACUAUGCACGUCUUGACGGUACCUAAUCAGAAAGCCACGGCUAACUACGUG
rnacentral:rRNA from 1 species